CUACGGGAGGCAGCAGUGGGGAAUAUUGGACAAUGGGCGAAAGCCUGAUCCAGCCAUGCCGCGUGAGUGAUGAAGGCCCUAGGGUUGUAAAGCUCUUUCACCGGUGAAGAUAAUGACGGUAACCGGAGAAGAAGCCCCGGCUAACUUCGUGCCAGCAGCCGCGGUAAUACGAAGGGGGUUAGCGUUGCUCGGAAUCACUGGGCGUAAAGCGCACGUAGGCGGAUUGUUAAGUCAGGGGUGAAAUCCUGGAGCUCAACUCCAGAACUGCCUUUGAUACUGGCGAUCUUGAGUCCGGGAGAGGUGAGUGGAAUUGCGAGUGUAGAGGUGAAAUUCGUAGAUAUUCGCAAGAACACCAGUGGCGGAGGCGGCUCACUGGCCCGGUACUGACGCUGAGGUGCGAAAGCGUGGGGAGCAAACAGGAUUAGAAACCCGUGUAGUCC
rnacentral:rRNA from 1 species